ACGAACGCUGGCGGCGUGCUUAACCCAUGCAAGUCGAACGGAAAGGCCCUGCUUUUGUGGGGUGCUCGAGUGGCGAACGGGUGAGUAACACGUGAGUAACCUGCCCUUGACUUUGGGAUAACUUCAGGAAACUGGGGCUAAUACCGGAUAGGAGCUCCUGCUGCAUGGUGGGGGUUGGAAGGUUUCGGCGGUUGGGGAUGGACUCGCGGCUUAUCAGCUUGUUGGUGGGGUAGUGGCUUACCAAGGCUUUGACGGGUAGCCGGCCUGAGAGGGUGACCGGCCACAUUGGGACUGAGAUACGGCCCAGACUCCUACGGGAGGCAGCAGUGGGGAAUAUUGCACAAUGGGCGGAAGCCUGAUGCAGCAACGCCGCGUGCGGGAUGACGGCCUUCGGGUUGUAAACCGCUUUCGCCUGUGACGAAGCGUGAGUGACGGUAAUGGGUAAAGAAGCACCGGCUAACUACGUG
rnacentral:rRNA from 1 species